ACUUGCGCAGGCUGAAAGGAGAGAGGGGCUCAGAGGCAGGAGCUGGCUCGUCAGGCCACGUUUGCUGGCACCCUGAACAGCCAAAGGACCUCCUGGACAUCACGACCCCCUACUGCACUGCUCCCAGUCUAGGCUGGGGGCCAGCUCUCCCUGGUUCCACCCCCAAGGUGUUCGUCAGUAAAGACAGGCAAGGCUCCACAUCUGAGGGGACCUCCCAGGUCAGACACGGUGAAGCAAAUAAAAAGGCCACAAAGCACUUUAGACCGUGAGUCCACAGAUCUGGGGAGAGCUCUGUUUUGCUGCUCCCAUGCUCUCAUUUCCCCAUCUGCAAUGGGAAGCAACCGAAUCCAAAGACCUCUCAAGCCCACCCUGCCAGUAGCUGCUGAGGCCCCAGGCACAAGCCUGAUGUCAUCAACUAGGUUUUACCUUCAUGGAAGCGGUGCUGGGUGCAGGGAUGGCAGAUUAUAGACAUCUGUGCCUGCAGCAGUGAUGGAUGUGGAUCCUGCCUCACGCAGAUCUAGUCCAGAAUGUCCUCGUUGCACUGCAGUCCAACCAGAGAGAGCACAGCUAAAUGGUGCUCCCAUCUCCCCUCAAAACAAGGACAUCAAGGCAAGUGGCGUAACCAGCUCCCAUAUACCUGUGAAACAGACUCCAUAAAGUAUUAAUUCUUUGCUGGUUUUUUGCUGUACAUACUCGGCUCCAUGCUGCAGGCACUGGGGAUAACAAAGAAAGCGUGACCCCCUAAAGAUGGUACGUCUCCGUGAUCUCUCUACUUGACAUGACCAAAGCCCAGAGCGUAUCUCUUUAAUGCUCCUUCCAGGUCUAGGAGAGAGCAAGGCUUGAGUCCCUCUAAAUAUGGUGGAUAAAAGGCUGGGGGAAAUAAAGUACAAGAUAUAAAAUCAACAUCUGAGCUUGAGUCUUGGUUGUCCCCUACAUUAGUCAUGUGACCUUGAUAAUCACUUAAACUUUCUAUUUAAAUGGGUAUCAGUCACCUCAACUGCCAAACAGGGAAUCAUUUCAGGGGCGAUGUGAGCAUUCCCUGUGAUGAUACACGUGCAAGUGCUUGGAAACUGAUAAAAUGCUUCUGGAAUGACAGUUAUCUUUAUUUACCCAGGGUCAGACAUUCUGUCAGUGGAUUGAUCACCUAAGGAUCCAGGAUCAGUCACAUCAAGAAAGACUCAAAGGUCCGCACACUCCACCGCUCUUGGAAGCCAGGAGGCACCACCAUGACCAGCACUCUUCUUUUGAAAUAUUCUUCCCUCCAAGCCUCCAUGCAAUUUGUAUCAAAUGUUCUAGUAGAGUAGGCAAGAGACCUGGGUUAUUGGAUAUUUGUCAAAUUCAAUAAAAGCCAUGGAGUAGCUCUAG